AUGGUUGAGGUCGGCGAAGCGGCCCAUCGCGCGGCGCCUGGGGACGCUGCCUCCCUCCGCCGCCGCCAAAACCGGAUGGCGUGCUGUCCGGCGAGGGGCCCGACCUAUCGUCUUCGUCGCGCGUCCUGGGCUGACGGAGGGGCAGACGCCGAUGCCCACCAGCGGCGGCAGGCUCGAUCUGGAUAUUCAUCCUCGUGCCCAGUCGCCGCUCCUCGGCAUAUUCCUCUCCCCGCACCGCCGUUCGCUCUAUCGCGUCACCCGCACUGCCGCUCACCUCCGCCUCGUCAGCGCCUUCUGCUGCUACUGCCGCCGGCGCGUCUCCUAGCUCUUGAACGACCAAACCAUGCAUCGCUACUCCAUGGGAUUCUAAUUUGCCUUUGCAUGCUUGCAAGUUUGAUUGCUGGACCAGCUGCUGGACGUGGAGCACUGGAUCCGGCAGGCGGUGGUGCUCUGGGGCGUCGCCCCCCUCGUCGGCGCCUUCUCGCCGUGUACACUCACAAUUAUUGUACAGAUUGA
rnacentral:rRNA from 1 species